rnacentral:rRNA from 1 species
GACGAACGCUGGCGGCGUGCUUAGCACAUGCAAGUCGAACGGGUCUGCCCUGUUUUUUGCGGGGUGGGUCAGUGGCGAACGGGUGAGUAACACGUGAGUAACCUGCCCCUCACUUCUGGAUAACCGCUUGAAAGGGUGGCUAAUACGGGGUGUUCUGGCUGUGCCGCAUGGUGUGGCUGGGAAAGAUUCACUUUUGUGGUGUUUUGGUGGGGGAUGGGCUCGCGGCCUAUCAGCCUGUUGGUGGGGUGAUGGCCUGCCAAGGCUUUGACGGGUAGCCGGCCUGAGAGGGUGGGCGGUCACACUGGGACUGAGAUACGGCCCAGACUCCUGCGGGAGGCAGCAGUGGGGGGUAUUGCACAAUGGGCGGAAGCCUGAUGCAGCGACGUCGCGUGAGGGAUGGAGGCCUUCGGGUUGUGAACCUCUUUCGCCGGUGAAGAAGGUCCUGCUCUUUGUGGUGGGGUUGACGGUAGCCGGGUUAUGAAGCGCCGGCUAACUACGUG